ensembl:lncRNA
GUAUGUACGGCAGAUUGAGCUAUGUGGGUCUUUCAUUCUAACUUCUAUUGCUAUGUUUAAAUCUUCAUCUUUUAAGUCUCCACUUUUUUUUUUUUUUUUCCUUUGGUCUAAGUUAGCUGCCUUCUGCAGUAAGCUAUGCCUUACAUUCUGACCAUUUAAAAAAAACCUGCAGUAGCAUUGCUGUUUUGCAGAUGGGUGUCUUAAGACUAGACACAAUAAAGCCAGGAUCCUGCAGGCUUUCUCUAACUGAUUUUCCUGAGCAGUAGCCAAGUAGCAAUUGAACAGCUAAAAAACCCUGAUUUUGGUUGUCCCCCAGAAGAAAUCUAUAUAGCAGGAUCUUUUAAGAUCGAAGUUUGUAUGAUGGCCACACAAACACUGGAGUGUUACUUAAUUCUUUGUAAAGGAGAUACCAUCACAUCUCGUUGACCAUCAGAAUGCAAAUCCGUGUAACUUUGACAAGAACAAACUGUAUAACUCAAGAAGAUAUAAAAAAGUAACUACAUUUGGUAAUCAAUCAGGAGAGAUUUGCUACAACGAUAUGGCAUCUAUAGCAAGAUACUAUAACACGAGUGUCUCAUACCAUCCCUUCCUGCAUUUUUGGAAAUCAGAUCUUCAAUUCUAGGAUGAAAAACAUGUUAAAACCUUGAAAUAUUGAAUAAGCACAAAACCGUUACAGUCUACAGUGCAAAAACACGGAUGUUAAUGAGAUACAAUAGAUCAAGAAAGAAAGACUUUGUAGAAGCUGUGCUCCACCAUCAAAGAAUGCGUAUUGUCAUCAUUAAAAUGUCAUAUACUUCAAACCUAACAGUAAAGCUUCUUACCAUGAAUACGUUCAUCUUUUGUUAUGGGAUGACUUGUUGAAGUGGAUGAAGUUAUCAUUCUGGCUAGAAGAAACAGCUGUCUUUCAUUUUGCACAUAGAAUAUAUCUAUAGAGAGAACAAUGAGACUGUUUUACUUGACCAUUCAAUUUGGCCUGGAAACAGUGCCGAAGUCCUCUGUGUAUCUAUGAAAUGGUUAUCUCAACCUCUGGAAAGAUUUUUUUUUGUGAGAAUGAUAUGAAGUUUUCCCACUUAAUAUUUUUUCAGGGUUACGGAGUUUUCCAAGUAAAGAAGUUAAAUGAAUUGGAUGCAAAACAUACAAGUGCAUUUUGCCUGGUAUCUAUAGCCUGUUGUCUGAAAGAUCCUAUGUGUUUGACAUAAUAGACAAUGAACUUCCUUCUGCUUCCAGUUACACUCAUAUACGUCUGGAGUAACACCUUCGGAAUCUGAGAUGAGUUCUGCCUCAAUCUCUCUCUUUUUAGAUGCUGGACAAAGGCCAGUAUUUUACUUUGAAUAACUGCCUCUAAUGUUGGGAUUCUAUUCAUAAGUAACCCAUGAGAGGUGCAUUAAAAAACAGAGCUCUAAAUUUAGGGUAACAGUGGCCAUUUAAAGUCUAUGCUACAUAAAUCUAAAGACUAACCCAUACAUUUCAGGAAAUAUAUUUCUGUGUCCCAUGCCUGCAGCUGAAGAGCAGACAUGCCCACACAGGCUUUGCAGCUUGCAGACAGGCUGGAAUGAGAGGCUGUUGCAUGUUCACGAGAGGCAGGAUCCCUCUGCUAUUCCCUUUUCACGUGUUUUCUGCUUAUCUGGUUUUAAUAUUUCCUUAAAAAAAUUAAGAACUACAUCCCAGCCCCAUUUUCAUAAGCAUUUGGAGCUUCAGAAGGCCUUGCAAGCUGUUGUAGUGAUUGCGUGUUACAUCAUUCAUUCAUCCUCUUGAGAAAUGACACUGCCGCAGUUUUUCACUCAUCUCUUUGGUUAAGUGCUUUUGUAAUUUGUAUUAAACUGUAAACCAACUUCAUAAAAUAACCCAGUUUAAAAUGAAGCAAAAAAAGUGUUUUGGAGUUAUCAUUUUCCUAUCAAAUUAUUUCACGUUCUGUAACAAAUGUAGUUAAAUUAUUAUAAGAUCUUUGCUUUGCAACUAAUUAUUUGAAAAACAUCAGUGAUGUAGAAAUACGUAAGUCUAAAAUUGUGCCAUACAAAACUGACUACACAGGGACUGAACAAAAUGGCUUGUACUGAGAUGGAAACAUCCUUCCAGUCUUUCAUAUGAAGUUGUAGAGUGUAUAAAUAUGCUCAGUUUCUCUCCAUAAUCUUUUUCUUUUUUUUUUGAGAAAUUCACAUCAGCAACAUUUUCUGACUGCAUGAGUUUUGAAUUAUUUUAUAUUUUGUUAGGAAUACUUCCUGUCUUUACUUGCAUACUAAGUCUUAAAUGUAUUUUCUCGCAUUUGAGAGACAAGUGUAUAGUAACUGCAUCUCUGCCUACUUAACAACUCGUGUAAUGUGUUUCUCAUUUCAACAAUUCCCACCACUCAGCUCACAGUUUCAUUAAUUUUUCAGGUGAAGUUUUGCUGAUAUAUGGUUAAGAGAUUGAAAACAUUUAAAUCCAUUAAACUCUCUUUCUCUGCUACAAGCUGUUCUUAGAGUAAUUUGCUUAGUGUUAAUACAACAUCACUCUACACCACUCUGUCAAAAACUGAACUAAAAAUUCACACUUCUGAAGACACGAGUUAGUAAAUCAGUUUUGCACUAGCUCAGGUAGAAUUUCCCAAUAAUAAACCUAUCACUAAUAUUAAGAAUGACAUGGGUAAAAUUAUAUAUAGUGGUUAAUAUGAAAACACACUGAGUUUCUGUUUCGGGGAGAAGGGCAAGAGGUAAGAUAAUAAAACUCGAAAUGCUAUUUUUUUAAUUACAAAAAAAAAAAAAAAAGGAAAAUAAUAUUUUUUUCAGCAUCCAAAUUGUAUUAAACUUAGGUAUGACAAAAUCCAAAGUCCUGAUGGUAGUACUCAAGUCACAGACAGGAUACCUAGAUAUCUGGCCAGUUGGCCUGGCUUGGCCUGCAAUCAUUUACAUGGGAUUAGAAAUCAUUCCAACUUUAAAUAGUAUGUUUUAAAAUGUAACUUUGUGUAUAGAUUAUUUUCUAUGAAGUAAACAGUGUCAUCAAUAUUGACUAGACUUAGAGUUACUAGGCGAAGUCUUGACGUCCCUACAUACUUUGAUUCAGUUUGAAGGAAUUUAAGAAAGUUUUAGCUCGAAAGAAUUGUCUUAAACUUUAAACUACUCUAUGCUUGUGGGUAAAUCUCUCUGGAGUAAAACAAAGUCUUUAAUUUACUUUGUUAUGCACUAGAUGUGGCCCAAAGGGCUGAAAAAAUUGAAACAUAAGAGUAGGCCUUUAUUUGAGAUUGUGCAUGCACCUGCUUGGAAAACCAAGUUAUCCGAACUUAAGAAGGCACCAGUUGUUAGAAUACUAUCAAAUAGCAUAAAACUUGCAAAUCAGCUGUUCAUUCUGUGCUAGCUAGUGCCUGUAGGGAACAGAGAAAUACCUGGA